rnacentral:rRNA from 1 species
CGGAGGGUGCAAGCGUUAUCCGGAAUCAUUGGGUUUAAAGGGUCCGCAGGCGGUCUUAUAAGUCAGUGGUGAAAGCCUACAGCUUAACUGUAGAACUGCCAUUGAUACUGUAAGACUUGAAUUCGGUCGAAGUGGGCGGAAUGUGACAUGUAGCGGUGAAAUGCUUAGAUAUGUCACAGAACACCGAUAGCGAAGGCAGCUCACUAGGCCUGGAUUGACGCUCAUGGACGAAAGCGUGGGGAGCAAACAGGAUUAGAUACCCUGGUAGUCCACGCCGUAAACUAUGAUUACUCGUUUUCGGCGAUAUACAGUCGGAGACUAAGCGAAAGUGAUAAGUAAUCCACCUGGGGAGUACGAUCGCAAGGUUG